GUUCUGCAAUGAGGAAUGUUAUAAAAUUUCACAUGUUAGACUACUGAGAUGGAUACCAUCGAUGAGUUAGCAACUUUAUUCUGAGCAGAAC